UACAGAGGUCUCAAGCGUUGUUCGGAUUCAUUGGGCGUAAAGGGUGCGUAGGCGGCGCGGUAAGUCGGGUGUGAAAUCUCGGAGCUUAACUCCGAAACUGCAUUCGAUACUGCCGUGCUUGAGGACUGGAGAGGAGACUGGAAUUUACGGUGUAGCGGUGAAAUGCGUAGAUAUCGUAAGGAAGACCGGUGGCGAAGGCGGGUCUCUGGACAGUUCCUGACGCUGAGGCACGAAGGCCAGGGGAGCAAACGGG
rnacentral:rRNA from 1 species